AGCGAACGCUGGCGGCAGGCUUAAUACAUGCAAGUCGAGCGCCUGUAGCAAUACAGGAGCGGCAGACGGGAGAGUAACACGUGGGAACGUGCCCUUUGGUUCGGAACAACACAGGGAAACUUGUGCUAAUACCGGAUAAGCCCUUACGGGGAAAGAUUUAUCGCCAAAGGAUCGGCCCGCGUCUGAUUAGCUAGUUGGUGGGUAAUGGCCCACCAAGGCGACGAUCAGUAGCUGGUCUGAGAGGAUGAUCAGCCUCAUUGGGACUGAGACACGGGCCCAAACUCCUACGGGAGGCUG
rnacentral:rRNA from 1 species